UAACAAGGAUUCCCUCAGUAACGGCGAGUGAACAGGGAACAAGCUCAAAGUUGGAAUCUAUCUGGCUUAGCCAGAUCGAAUUGUAAACUUUAGAGUCGUUGUCCAGACCAGCCGAGUAAAUAAGUUCCUUGGAAUAGGACAUCAUGGAGGGUGAGAAUCCCGUCUUUGGCUUGAGCAUUGGUCUUUUGUGAUGCGACUUCAACGAGUCAGGUUGUUUGGGAAUGCAGCCUUAAUUGGGUGGUAAAUCUCACCUAAAGCUAAAUAUUGGCGAGAGACCGAUAGCGAACAAGUACCGUGAGGGAAAGAUGAAAAGAACUUUGAAAAGAGAGUUAAACAGUAUGUGAAAUUGCUAAAAGGGAACCGUUUGAAGUCAGUCUGGCUGGUCUGCAAUCAGCUUCAACUUUGGUUGGAGUGCACUUGUAGGCCAUUUUGCCUGCCAACAACAGUUUGUUUUGCAGCAAAAAGGUGUUGAGAAUGUAGCUUUCUCUUUGGAGGAAGUGUUAUAGCUCUUCGCGAAAUACUGUGGUUCAGACUGAGGCUUGCAGUGAAUGCUAUUUUGGCUUUGGGGAUGGAUUGCUCAGUGCUUUGCUUGGUUAGUUUUCGGCCGUCAAACGUCGUGCUGGCUAAAUAAAGUCUGACUCGGUUCAUUCACUUUUAAUUCACUUUGGUUGUUGGCUUAAUGA
rnacentral:rRNA from 1 species